GACUGGAACUCUUGUAACAGCUACAUUAUGAUUUUUCCCCCCAAAUUCUUUCCUCAGGACCCUUUAUUACUUUAACUAUUAUUUUUACAAAUAUUGGGAACUGGAAGAGGAUUUUCAUAAAAGGUGCAGGAGACAGACUACACUGGAAGAGGGGAGGCCGGCGGGUUACUUUGGGAAUACCAGGCACCUUUUCCUCUCCCCUGUUGCCUAACAUGCUGGAGAACGGGGAUCGAGGAUGGACCUGUGGUUGGCCGCUGUAAACCCGCAGUCACCACAACCUGAGACGUUGGCACAGCGAUGACUUUAGGUGGGG